rnacentral:rRNA from 1 species
GCCAACGGCCAUACCACGUUGAAUACACCGGUUCUCGUCUGAUCACCGAAGUUAAGCAACAUCGGGCGUGGUUAGUACCUGGAUGGGUGACCGCCUGGGAACACCGCGUGCUGUUGGCA